AGUGAACGCUGGCGGCAGGCCUAAUACAUGCAAGUCGAACGGCAGCACAGCAGAGCUUGCUCUGUGGGUGGCGAGUGGCGGACGGGUGAGGAAUACAUGGGAAUCUGCCCAGUCGUGGGGGAUAACGUAUGGAAACGUACGCUAAUACCGCAUGCGCCCUACGGGGGAAAGUCGGGGACCGCAAGGCCUGACGCGAUUGGAUGAGCCCAUGUUCGAUUAGCUAGUUGGCGGGGUAAAGGCCCACCAAGGCGACGAUCGAUAGCUGGUCUGAGAGGAUGAUCAGCCACACUGGAACUGAGACACGGUCCAGACUCCUACGGGAGGCAGCAGUAGGGAAUAUUGGACAAUGGGGGCAACCCUGAUCCAGCCAUGCCGCGUGAGUGAAGAAGGCCCUCGGGUUGUAAAGCUCUUUUGUCCGGAAAGAAAGCAUCUGGUUAAUACCGGGUGUUCCGACGUACCGGAAGAAUAAGCACCGGCUAACUUCGUGCCAGC
rnacentral:rRNA from 1 species